rnacentral:rRNA from 1 species
GACGAACGCUGGCGGUGUGCCUCAAACAUGCAAGUCGAGGGAGGGUUGGCGACUAGCUUGCUAGUCGUUCAACUCUACCGGCAAACGGGUGAGUAACACGUGGGAAACCUGCCCUGAAGACGGGGACAACUUCGGGAAACCGGGGCUAAUACCCGAUACCCUCCACGGGGGGCAUCCUCUGUGGAGGAAAGGUUCCGCAAGGUUCGCUUCAGGAGGGUCCCGCGGCCUAUCAGCUAGUUGGUGGGGUAACGGCCUACCGAAGGCGAUGACGGGUAGCUGGUCUGAGAGGACGAUCAGCCACACUGGGACUGAGACACGGCCCAGACUCCUACGGGAGGCAGCAGUGGGGAAUCUUGCGCAAUGCGCGAAAGCGUGACGCAGCAACGCCGCGUGA